UGCCCCUAAUAAAAACAAAAAUUACUUUACUUUCCUUUUCUCAUUCUCAAAGCCAGUAAUUCCGAGUCCCUGCACUUCUGCUUUCCUUUCUUUCUUCUUGCUUGAGAAAACCCACAAAUAAUCCCAUUAAAAAUCCUGCUCCACCUCUUUUUUCCUUUCCUCCGUGAAAAAUCAAAUUUACGUCUUUAUGAUUUUUUCUGUGUGAAUUCUUAGCUAAUAUUGCUGUAUCGGUGGCCUUGAUAUGUAAUUAUUGCUUUGUAGGGUAAUUUGCAAGUUGCAAAUUUAUAUGCUGGUACCGACAGUGUAGAGCUCAAAGGCCUGAAAUAAUUGCUGAAUUGAAUUAUUUCUUAAGGAGUUGUAUCUUCAAGUUGCAAGUGUAUAUUCUUUUCUCAAAGAAGCUGUUCCUGGUGUUUUUAGAAUCUGUCAGCUACUCUCAAGAAGAUGUGCUCCUUCAGAAGCCCAAAGCUGGGGUAUGUGUAGCUUCAAAUCAUUCUUAAUCAGAAUGCUUAAAUCACUCUUGAAUCAGGCUUUCUGAUCUAGAUUCGGAUGUUGGUUAAUAUCAGUUACUGAGUAGUAUAAUGCUUGCAGCUUUUGAAGCCUACUUUCACAAUUAUGUGUGAUAAAGAUUCAAAAUGCUUCCUUUGAUAAAGAUUCAAAAUACUUCCUUUUAUUGAUUCGUGGAACCCAUAGCAUCAAAGAUACACUAACAGCAGCUAGUGGUGCAGUGGUACCUUUCCUCUCUUUUAUUUUGCAUGAUGGUGGGAUAAGCAAUUUGGUUAUGGUUUUUGCAUAUUGUGGGAUUUUUGUUGUUGCUUGUUGGAUUGCUAAGCUCAACACUCCAUUCUUGCUUAAGGCUCUCAAUGACCAUCCUGACUACAAAGUUAAGGUGCUUAGUGUGGAGUUAGACCUUUGGCUUUGGUCUUUUAGCAUUCAAUUUCCAUCUCUGCAACACCAUCGAGCACUUUCAACGUAUUACUGAGCUCACCAUAUCUGAUGGUGUCCUUCUUAAUUUAUGCUUCUAACUGUAAGAUUAUAGGAACUAGCAUAGUAAGUUUUGGGGCGAAGUCAAUAGAUAGAUGUGUCUAUAAAUUCCUCGCAUUUAUUUUUCUUUUUGCAUGGUUGUGGCUUUUCUUAAUUUUGAGAAGUACUACUAAUAUUAGCCUUGAGUUGAUGAACCAAAAACUUAUUGUUUUAAAAAUUGAACAUUUGAUAUGUUGCUAUUACCUAUUUUGAGAUA